rnacentral:rRNA from 1 species
UACGUAGGGUGCGAGCGUUGUCCGGAAUUAUUGGGCGUAAAGAGCUCGUAGGCGGUGUGUCGCGUCGGCCGUGAAAACCUGGGGCUCAACUCUGGGCGUGCGGUCGAUACGGGCAGACUGGAGGUAUGCAGGGGAGAACGGAAUUCCUGGUGUAGCGGUGAAAUGCGCAGAUAUCAGGAGGAACACCGGUGGCGAAGGCGGUUCUCUGGGCAUGACCUGACGCUGAGGAGCGAAAGUGUGGGGAGCGAACAGG